rnacentral:rRNA from 1 species
GAUGAACGCUGGCGGCGUGCCUAAUACAUGCAAGUCGAGCGAAAAGAUGAGGAGCUUGCUCCUCUGACGUUAGCGGCGGACGGGUGAGUCACACGUGGAUAACCUACCUAUAAGACUGGGAUCACUUCGGGAAACCGGAGCUAAUACCGGAUAAUAUCUUGAACCGCAUGGUUCAAUAGUGAAAGACGGUUUUGCUGUCACUUAUAGCUGGAUCCGCGCCGCAUUAGCUAGUUGGUAAGGUAACGGCUUACCAAGGCAACGAUGCGUAGCCGACCUGAGAGGGUGAUCGGCCACACUGGAACUGAGACACGGUCCAGACUCCUACGAGAGGCAGCAGUAGGGAAUCUUCCGCAAUGGGCGAAAGCCUGACGGAGCAACGCCGCGUGAGUGAUGAAGGUCUUCGGAUCGUAAAACUCUGUUAUGAGGGAAGAACAAAUGUGUAAGUAACUAUGCACGUCUUGACGGUACCUAAUCAGAAAGCCACGGCUAACUACGUG